GAUGAACGCUGGCGGCGUGCCUAAUACAUGCAAGUAGAACGCUGAAGGAGGAGCUUGCUCUUUCCGGAUGAGUUGCGAACGGGUGAGUAACGCGUAGGUAACCUGCCUGGUAGCGGGGGAUAACUAUUGGAAACGAUAGCUAAUACCGCAUAACAGUAGAUAUUGCAUGAUAUUUGCUUGAAAGGGGCAAUUGCUCCACUACCAGAUGGACCUGCGUUGUAUUAGCUAGUUGGUGAGGUAACGGCUCACCAAGGCGACGAUACAUAGCCGACCUGAGAGGGUGAUCGGCCAAACUGGGACUGAGACACGGCCCAGAAUCCUACGGGAGGCAGCAGUAGGGAAUCUUCGGCAAUGGACGGAAGUCUGACCGAGCAACGCCGCGUGAGGGAAGAAGGUUUUCGGAUCGUAAAGCUCUGUUGUAAGAGAAGAACGAGUGUGAGAGUGGAAAGUUCACACUGUGACGGUAUCUUACCAGAAAGGGACGGCUAACUACGUG
rnacentral:rRNA from 1 species